GUUUAGCUACUGACAAAGAUUCUUUUUUAAUAUUUUAUUACGAAGAUGAUUAAUCGUUCGAAUUUUAUAUCUCGGUAAAUUUUUAGUCUCGAAGGUAUAAUAACGAGAGAAUGAAUGCCUUAAUAUAACUUCGAGGUGGCCAGAAACUCCUCUCUCUGUCUCUCUCUCUGUCUCUCUCUAUCUCUCUCUCUCUCUCUCUCUCUCUCUCUCUCUCUCGUGUCGGCUGGUUUCGAAUUUUGCUACGACGGUGGUGGAAUCGGAGCUACCAAUCCUGGAGCAGAGAUUAAACGGUUAAGGAGCUGGCUAUCGAAUCGAGUGGGGAGAAAAGCUCGACAACGGCGGUUCCUGGAGGAAUUUCGGGAUUUCGAACGGGGAUCCUUUGCGUACGUGAUCCAGUCUACGAUCGGACGUAAAGUCGUUUAGAACGCUCGUUGCUUUUCAAUAGAUUUUCUAAACAACACGGGGAACAUUACAGAUUGAUCUAAGAAUCUUUUUUCGUUAUCGAUCCCAAACGUAUACUUCUUCAACGAUUUGCAGUGAAUCGUAUAGAAGACAGAAUCUAAGAUGCCACAGCCAGCUCACGAAACUAAAAACAUUUUAACCACUUACCUAAUCCUGAUAUUACUUUUGAUCUCUUUAUGGUUACUCUACUCGGGGAUAUUUUAAUUCCUUAGUUUUUCUCUUUGUCUAUAUCUCUCUCUGUCUCUCUCUCUCUCGUUAUGAGUUGAAACAUGAAAGACGAAGAAUGCGAGUUUCUCAAAGGCUGGACGACUUUCUCGAUCGAUAUUCGGAAAUUGAGAAUGGAAAGGAUAUCGAUUAUUACACAAGAUCGAUUUUAUAUUUUCGAAUCCUUCUUGAUCUCGCUCAGAUCGGAUUCUGACCAUCACCGAUUCAUUGCAUAGAUUAAUAUUCAUUGUUUAAGUUUCAAUAAGUUAAAUAAGUUAAAGAAUUAAUCGAAACAAUCAUGUCAUCGGAAAUAAAUCUUUUUUUUUUUCUUUCGUUUUUUUCUUUUUUCUUUUUAUACGUACGGAGACAGGGAGCGAGUGAAAUUUUCUUUUUUCUUUUCUUUUUUUUUUCUGUUAGAACGUAAUAUUUAUAAUUGUGCCACUUCGUAGAAUGUGUGAAAUAUUAAAAAAAAAGAAAAAAAAAAAAAGAACAAAAAGAACAAAAGAAAAAAGAAAGGAACAAAAUUUAAUACGAAAACGGGUAUUCGAUGUGUGUGGGUGCAAUUGAAUGAAUGUAUUUGUAGGUUCAUUGUGUUAACGUAUUCAAUGCUUGUAUAAAAGUAACGACAGUGGGUGGAAGGUAACAGACAAAUAAUUACACAUAAAACAAUGGUACGAUUUAUAGAUCAAGGAUGAAUAUACGAAGAAUUUGCGAUCUAGAUAAUUGUGAAAUAUUUUAAUAAUCUGUAUGAAUUAUUUUAUGGGGAUAAAAUUGGAACGAAUUAAAUGUCUCGAAUAUCGUGGAAUGAUAUUUCUAUUGUUCGCAUAAAGUAAAAUUUUUAUUAUCAUUGUAUACACAGAGAUAUAAUAUAUAAAUAUUUUUUUGUAUGGAAUAAUUUGUGAAUAGAGUUUGUGAAAUUUAAUUUUAGGAUGAAAAAGUCAAUGGCCGUGAGGAUGGAGAAAAAAUAAAAAGAAAAGAAAAGAAAAGAAAAGAGAAAAAUAAAAAGUAUGGGCCUUGCCAUCUGUAGAAAAUAAGUAAACGUUUGGAUUACAUGGACGAUGAACAUGGAAAGCGUGGGUGUUUAUACGAAAAUAGCCGAUGCUUUUAGUUCUCUUCUUCGGUGUUUCACUGUUUCACCACUACGUGUACCUACGUUGAUACAUAUAGAAGAGGAAAUCAGUAUUUUCUAUAGAAGAUCCGAAAAUAACUGAUGAGAAAAACGAAAGGAAUAUCAACGUUCCUCCUUUAGUCCUGUUCCAUCUAAAAAAGCAAUAAAUAAUGACCCGAUAGAAUGUUUAUUCCAUCGUUCGUUUCACAAACGAAAAUCAUUCGUUACGAGCAUCAUGAUAAUCGUCGUUCAAUGGUGGACAACAUCGAAGUAGAAACUCGUUGUAAUAAAUAAUUUUACAUUCGAGCUCGUGGAAAGACUGGCAGAUGGCUACGUUCCAGUAAUCGCUGGAAAUAGAUCUACUUGCUUUGAAUUCAGGUCGUUACGAAUAGUAUUAUCGUGCCCUGUAAACAUCAUUGCUAUAUAUGUAUUGACACAAAAUUUAUAAUACAGAAAGAAAAUCGAUAACAUCAAAAUGAAUUAUAAUCGGCUUCUUUUUUUUUUUUUUUUUUUCCAAUUUUACUUGAGGCAUGAACAAAAGAGACAAUCGAUAUUUCAGAAAAGCUAUUCAAUGUUUAUUAUCAACAUCAAUAUGGAUUAUUCGUAUUAACUUGAUUACAAUUUGAUUUCUUUCUUAAAAAUCUUACGAAAAAAUAGAUAAACGAAGUAUAACAUUUCUACGGCGCUGAUGAUACUACAACCAAGAAAUAGAUUGAAUAUUCCACCUACUUCAGCUGAAAUAUAUUAAAUUAAUAUUAAUAUUAUAUGUGACUUUUGAAUUAUAAUAAAUUUGUUCAUUGUCAAAGAUGAAAUGUUAACUGUGUAAAAA